rnacentral:lncRNA from 1 species
UGAGAACAAAGACACAACGUACCAGAAUUUCUGGGACACAUUUAAAGCAGUAUGUAGAGGGAAAUUUAUAGCACUAAAUGCCCACAAGAGAAAGCAGGAAAUAUCUAAAAUUGACACCCUAACAUCACAAUUAAAAGAACUAGAAAAGCAAGAGCAAACACAUUCAAAAGCUAGCAGAAGGCAAGAAAUAACUAAAAUCAGAGCAGAACUGAAGGAAAUAGAGACACAAAAAUAGAAAGCUGAAACUGGAUCCCUUCCUUACACCUUAUACAAAAAUCAAUUCAAG